UACGAAGGGUGCAAGCGUUACUCGGAAUUACUGGGCGUAAAGCGUGCGUAGGUGGUUAGUUAAGUCUGAUGUGAAAGCCCUGGGCUCAACCUGGGAACUGCAUUGGAGACUGGCUUACUAGAGUGCGGUAGAGGGGUGUGGAAUUCCCGGUGUAGCAGUGAAAUGCGUAGAUAUCGGGAGGAACAUCAGUGGCGAAGGCGGCUUACUGGACCAACACUGACACUGAGGCACGAAAGCGUGGGUAGCAAACAGG
rnacentral:rRNA from 1 species